UAGUCCACGCCGUAAACGAUGAUAACUAGCUGUUCGGGCCCACAGGGCUUGAGUGGCGCAGCUAACGCAUUAAGUUAUCCGCCUGGGGAGUACGGUCGCAAGAUUAAAACUCAAAGGAAUUGACGGGGGCCUGCACAAGCGGUGGAGCAUGUGGUUUAAUUCGACGCAACGCGCAGAACCUUACCAGCUUUUGACAUCCUGGUCGCGGAUUUGGGAGACCAUUUCCUUCAGUUCGGCUGGACCAGUGACAGGUGCUGCAUGGCUGUCGUCAGCUCGUGUCGUGAGAUGUUGGGUUAAGUCCCGCAACGAGCGCAACCCUCAUCCUUAGUUGCCAGCAUUUAGUUGGGCACUCUAAGGAAACUGCCGGUGAUAAGCCGGAGGAAGGUGGGGAUGACGUCAAGUCCUCAUGGCCCUUACAAGCUGGGCUACACACGUGCUACAAUGGCAUCUACAGUGAGUUAAUCUCCAAAAGAUGUCUCAGUUCGGAUUGGGGU
rnacentral:rRNA from 1 species